rnacentral:rRNA from 1 species
AGUGGGGAAUUUUGGACAAUGGGCGAAAGCCUGAUCCAGCCAUGCCGCGUGAGUGAAGAAGGCCUUCGGGUUGUAAAGCUCUUUUGUCCGGGAGGAAAUCCCGUAACCCAAUACGUUACGGGGAUGACAGUACUGGAAGAAUAAGCACCGGCUAACUACGUGCCAGCAGCCGCGGUAAUACGUAGGGUGCAAGCGUUAAUCGGAAUUACUGGGCGUAAAGCGUGCGCAGGCGGUUUGAUAAGUCAGAUGUGAAAUCCCCGGGCUUAACCUGGGAACUGCGUUUGAAACUGUCAGGCUAGAGUACGUCAGAGGGGGGUGGAAUUCCACGUGUAGCAGUGAAAUGCGUAGAGAUGUGGAGGAACACCGAUGGCGAAGGCAGCCCCCUGGGAUGAUACUGACGCUCAUGCACGAAAGCGUGGGGAGCAAA